UGAUAUAAUAUUCAACUCACAAGGGGAGUGUCAAACUUGGGAAUCACAGAUUUCCAUCACUUUUAUAUAUAUUGUAGGGCAGGGUCCCCUCAAUAAAUAUAUAAAGCGGCAAGACGCCAUUCGUUUUUAUUAUUGAGAAAUUUCAACUCAAAGUUCUAUAUGUAACUUAAGUAGA
rnacentral:lncRNA from 1 species